GCCACGCCGCCGGCAGGCGCGCCAGCACAUCGGCGGACGGCGGGGCCGGGGCCAGGUGGGGGUGGCCGCCAUUUGGGGUGGUCGACACGGAAGGGGAACCUGGUUCCUCCGGGGGGUUGAGGCUGGGCGACAGGGACAGCCGCGCCACUCGUUUGGAUACAUGUCCUGUCCAUUGCGUUAUCGUGUAUGCGUAUGUGUUUACUCCUGACAGUGCCUUCUGCUGCUGGAUGAUGGUCUUGCAAGUAAAUGAUGGGGUCAAUGCUCAUGCAAUCAUGCUACCACAACUUAUGUACGCCUGCAAAAUACCAUUUAGGUAAUUUGGUAUCAUCGCAACUAGAGACGCAAGUUAUAUUUAUUUUGGGUCAUUGGGUGGAUCUAAAAACUUGAUAAAAUAAAUUAGGAUGAUAUUGUGUGUAAUUGAUUUAUGAGGAGAAAUGAACUAGGAUGGCAUGCGAUCGUAAUUA